GUUCGUGCGAUAUUCGGCGAAAUAAUCAAAGAUCGACGCUUGGCGAUCUGACCAACGUGGGUGCCAGCUGUAGCCAUGUAAGUUAUUAAUAGGCCUACUAGUAGUAUGCAUAUAUUAUAUCUAUUUAUUUCACAUAAAAAAAAAAAAAAAAAAACUAACUCGUACGCGCUUGUGUAUUCGUUUUGUGUUUAUGGUCCACGUAGAUACUCUACCCGUAGCACUAGCGCGUGUGGUGUAAAACAGUGGGCCCUUGGAGCCGGCCGUCUGCCGAAGAAAAACCUCAAAGAACAAGCCGCGGAUUGGCUUCUACCCUGCUCACCACCAUCAAAGGAUCAUCCACAAUAAAAGGGCUAGAAAGGGGGUCGCUCAAAACGCUUUUACCUCCUGAGAAUAUAAACUUGAUUCUCCAUGUAGUCAUAAACACUGAAAUCUCCAAGCAAGGGGGUGGAUGGUCUGUGACCGAACAGCCUGUGGCUGAGCCUGUGUCUGAGCCGCCUACAGAGACUGUCACAGUGCAACCGGAUGGGACCAUUCAGCAUGACCCUGAAUGCUCCAACCUUGGAGACCGCCAGUGGCCCCCACUGCCACCACUGACAGCUGAGGACCUCAAGCUCCUUAACGACCUCACGUCGUGGGGCGACUCACCGAGAUGUGAAUCGCUAUCGUUGGAACAGAUCGACCUCACCCCAUCUCUUUGGAUAGGACCCUCCAGUUACGGCCGUAGGGGGACCCCCGGUGUUGAGACAGCCUGCAGACACACAGCCUGCAGACCAACUUGACUCUGGAGCAUCACACCCCAUCCAAGACCCCCUCCAAGACCCACCGAGCAUUGUGAGUCCCAAACACCUAUGAUGCUGUGGCUACACUGCUACCAGCCAGCACUGAGGUUGUUGAAGAACACAGGUCGGGGGGUGUUGUAUUAGCUGUUGAAAAGAAUGUGUGGGUAAAUUAACCCUUGGUGACUAAUGCAGCGGAUGUAAAAUUCCAGAACCAUCGUCAUCAGUGUAAACUGGGCGCACUGGCUGGUAAACGUAUUAACCGUAGAUUCCAGGAUAGCGACGCACGGGCAAAGCAUGACCUCAGCUCCAUCAAGGCCGAGGUAGUGCGGAUUGGUUUUGCUAUUGCAUCCCUACAGCGUAAUCUACUGGAUAUCGAAGCAGCGGUGCAGGUUAACACUCUGUCUAUUGAGAGAGGAGAGAGGGCACAGUCGGGUCCGGAUGCUGCGAAAGUAGCGCGUAAAUCCUGGCUAAUUAAAGCUACGGGAGGGAUAAUGCCAGGGUUUGCCGGGCAAUGGCUGCAGAGUUGGCUGUGGUGAAUAAUUCCCUGGAAAAGCUUACGCUGAAUCGAUGACACCAUUGAUUAUUUGAUUGUCGUCGUUUUUUUUGUUGUUGUUUUUAUUUUUUAUUAUUUUUGUGGGGGAUUUCUUUUGUUAUAAACUAGAGCUGUCAGUUAAACGCGUUAUUAACGCCGUUAACGCAAACCAAAUUAAACGGCGUUAAAUUUUUUAUCGCGCGAUUAACGCAAUUAUUUUAUUAUAUUUUUUCUUUGUUUCAAAACAAAGAAGCAGUAGCCUGACUGCUAUGUUCAAAUGACAUUUGUUCAAAGCAGUCGUUUAAUUGCACUAUAGGCUCUUUUUUUGUAUCGUCCUGUUUUGAUCAGUGUAUAUGCCAAUGUUGUUAUCAAUAAAAAAUCAUUUGCACAAGGCAAGCCGAUGCACUUCACCAUGUUGAUAAGAGAAUUAAAAUGAGAAGAAUUAUGGGACAAAAAAAUCAAGGGAUAUUUAGCAUAGAAAAAUAAUUUGUGAUUAAUCGCGAUUAAAUAGAGUUAACUAUGACAUUGAUGCGAUUAAUCACGAUUUUAAUCGCUUGACAGCUCUAUUAUAAACUGAACGUAAUAAAACCUUUUUUCUUUUAAUACCUGUCUAAUUAACUUUUUUUAUUUAUUUGCGUAAAACUAUAUAUGUAAACUAUGAAUAAAACCAUGAGCCCUAGAAAAAGGAAAUUCAAAUCUGUAGACGGUAAUCCCAAGAGACUGCGUAGAUCCGGAGGUCAAAAGUAUUCACAUUCAUUAUUCAAGUAGAAGUAUAUAUACUAGCGUUUAAAGAUACUUCUGUAGAAGUUGAAGUAUCAACUCAAGCUUUUUACUUUAGUAAAAGUAUAAAAGUACUGGUUUCAAAAACUACUUAAAAUAUUAAAGUAAAAGUAAUGCAAGGGAAAAAAAUGCCAUUAAGGACAAAGCUUAGGCCGUGCCACAGGGGCCUAUAGAAUUACAAUCAGCUUUUUUGCCAAGUAUGCUCACACAUACAAGGAAUUUGGUCACUGCAUUUAUCCCAUCCGUGAAUUAGUGACACACACACAGCACACCUCUAUAGCACAUUGCCCAACUUCCCCCAAAAAUCAUUUGCUAAAGGCCAUCUAAUGACUCUAAUGUUAAUGUUGAAAGAAUUGGGAUGCAUCUGUUUCAGACAUAUUUAUGCCCAUUGAAAAUGAACGCAUAUUAGUACAAUGCAAAUACAUUAAAGAACCAUAUACAGUAUGUGUACUACUGAGCAUUAACAUGUGUUUCAUCAAGCGGAAGAUAUGAUGACUAGUUAGAGUUGUAGAGUUGUUUUUGCAUCCAACCGUUUCAAAAAAUUCUUCCAGGCACGGCCAGGGAUGUAGAAGGGUUGGCUGGUCUUCUUGGCUACCAACCUCCUCACUGGUGCUUGGUUGGGACAUUUCACUCAUCUACGUCUGCUAUUUCGUAGCUGGAAUGUGGCGCGAUUUAUGUCAUGUCAGAGAAUGUAGACGGGCCUCUGGUCAUGCGCAGGUGCCAUGGAUCGCGUAUAAACCAAUAGGGUUGUCAGAAUGGUAUAUGUUUCUAUUCUCAUCCAACCAAUCAAAUUCACUCUAUCCGAUGGCGCGAAUUAUCUGGAUAGGUUUUUUUUCUUUGUAUUUUUUUGAACGCCGGCGGAAUAAAAAAAGCAGAAAUUAAAUUGGAGUAACGAGGCUAUUUUUAAAAAAGUAAGGAGUAGAAAGUACAGAUAAGUGCGUGAGAAUGUAAGAAGUAGAAGUAAAAAGUAGGCUGAAAAAUAAUUACUCCAGUAAAGUAUAGAUACCCAAAAUUUCUACUUAAGUAAGGUAACAAAGUACUUGUACUUUGUUACUCGACACCUCCCCGUAGAUCUGAUAGUGGGGGUGGACACUAUGGAUGCAGAUCUUGAAGAGGUUGUAAUGAGGUAUGAUGAGGCUGUCGAUUCGGCUCAUUUGUCUGCUGCAUGUCGUGUGGGGGACGGGGGGCGAGGGUGUAGAAGGCGGUUUAGACAUUCGGGAUAAAUGUGUUGAUAUAGAGAGAACUAGGGGUGUGUUAAUCGCAGCUGAGGCGUCCCAUCCGUGGGGGCAUAGUAUGUUAGAGGCUUUAGACACGGCGGCAAGGAUAAAUGUUUCGAAUGAGCCAAGGGUAGAUGACGGGGAGGUGUGUGGGUAGCCGUAGUACUGCUAUUACUACGGCUACGGUUGAUGUGACUCAAUAAAUUCCCUUUUCCAUCAAAUAAUUUUCCAGAAAUUUUUUGGGUCUUUUAUGUAUGUGUUGGUCUUAAAAAGGUCUUAAAAAGUCUUAAAUUUGACUUUAAAAAUGGUGCAAGAACCAUGUAUGUAUCAUGGUUCUUGCACCAUUUUUAAUCAUACACCCCUCCUUGCUCUGUCAAUAACAUAUCCAUACCUUAUAUAUUCCUUUAACCUUAUUCGUGGAAAACUGUACGAACUGUUGCUGAUUAUCAUAUAUAUGUAAUUUAUCCAAACCAUAUUUUUUCUAAUGGUGGACAACCAAAACAGAACCGAUUCAAAUCCUGCUGUUAUUUGAUCUCCUCAUGUGACUGUUACUCCUUGCUCAGCGGACGUAGUUUGUAGGCUCCGUGUGUGUCUGCAUCUGGCUCUCGAACUUUGUUUCUAUUGUAGAAAUACAGACUCAUGUACAGCAGUUAGUUGUUCAAAAGCAUAUUUCUAUUUUUAAUUGUUCGAAUGGAAGUCCAUUAUGGGACCCUUGAAAUGUAAGUGUAAGCAUGAAUCUAACCGUAAGCAUUACGUGCAAAGUUAGCUGUGUCAGAGUGAUACACUGUACUCAUCUUGCUUCUGGAAACAUUCGACCUGAAAAUUGUAUGCGUUAUAAAUAUGUUUGUAUUAUAAUUGAUAAUGCCUCAUUUGUAUUCCUUUCAUCUAACCAAUUCUAUUUAGUGCUUGUACAGAUUUUAAAUUUUUGUUUUGAGUGUCCCAUUCCUUAUUCUGAGCUGAUUUCAACCUUGGCAUGACAGUUCUAUUUUAAAAUUGUUGAUUUACGGUAUACACCUUGAUUUAAUAUUCACACUACAUCCCUCCUUGCGCAUUGCUUCAGCCAUGCGCAUUGAAUGACAACCAAACCUAACAACGGUGUAGUGCAACCAAGUUGAAGUUCCUUUCCUUAAUCAUCUGUACAUAAACCAAUCUAUUGUGAAGAGAAAUGAAGACCAGUACAUACAAAACCAAAGGUCGAUAGUGGUGGGUCUAUGCAGCCGUUUUGAGACCACGCUGUUCUCAAAUGCAGUAGACCAGGCAUAUUCAACUAGCGGCCCGUGGGCCAAAUGCGGCCCCUCUUAAUUUUUUUUCUGGCCCGCAAGAGGUUGCAUGCAAAAAAAAAAUUUAAUAAAGGAGAAACAUAGUUGCAUGCAAAUCAGGUUUCUGUGUGUAGCCGGUGAUACUAGCCAGUAUCAGUACCCCACAAUCAGGAACUGGCAUCACUUAUUCUGACAAUGUUUGGCUCAACCGAUACAUGUGAGUCUAGCUUUUCUCAUAUGAAUGCCAUCAGAACAAGGGCAUGUUGCUCCAUGACCUAUGAGAAGCUGCAUAAGAGUCUCAGGAUGAGCCAAUCUAGGCUAACAAGGUAGUGCAACCUUUCUUACUGACUCACUGGCUCAAAAUGUCUCAUAUGUACAGUAGUUCUGUUUUGUGAUGAUUCAAACAACAUUGUUGAAUUCUAAAUACGUGUCCAAAAUAUGUGAGAACAAAAUCUUUCAUAAUGAUACGAUUAAAAGUGAAGAAGGAAGGAAUGCGUCUGACAAGUUUAUUCCAUGUAGUAGUACUAUACAUAUUAAGUUAACACUACUUUAAGUACGAUUGAUUUGCAGCGAUUCAUUCACGUAGUUUUACUCUGUGUGGCCCAUGAACCCCAGUGGUUUUCCUUUUCGGCCCACUUGUUAAGGAGGUUGAAUAGCCCUGACCAUAAACGAUUCAUGAGUGAGUAUAGUUGUGUGCCGUAACUUAUCAGAGUAAAAAAAUAUCA
rnacentral:lncRNA from 1 species